rnacentral:rRNA from 1 species
UACGUAGGGGGCAAGCGUUGUCCGGAUUUAUUGGGCGUAAAGAGCGUGUAGGCGGCCUGGUAGGUCAGCUGUGAAAACUCGAGGCUCAACCUCGAGACGCCGGUUGAAACCAUCAGGCUAGAGUCCGGAAGAGGAGAGUGGAAUUCCCGGUGUAGCGGUGAAAUGCGCAGAUAUCGGGAAGAACACCCCGUGGCUAAGGCGGCUCUCUAGUACGGUACUGACGCUGAGACGCGAAAGCGUGGGGAGCGAACAGG